rnacentral:rRNA from 1 species
GAGAACUCGGGUGAAGGAACUAGGCAAAAUGGUACCGUAACUUCGGGAGAAGGUACGCUCUCGACGGUGAAGUCCCUCGCGGAUGGAGCUAUUGAGAGUCGCAGAUACCAGGUGGCUGCAACUGUUUAUUAAAAACACAGCACUGUGCAAAAUCGUAAGAUGACGUAUACGGUGUGACGCCUGCCCGGUGCCGGAAGGUUAAUUGAUGGGGUUAGACUUCGGUCGAAGCUCUUGAUCGAAGCCCCGGUAAACGGCGGCCGUAACUAUAACGGUCCUAAGGUAGCGAAAUUCCUUGUCGGGUAAGUUCCGACCUGCACGAAUGGCGUAAUGAUGGCCACGCUGUCUCCACCCGAGACUCAGUGAAAUUGAAAUCGCUGUGAAGAUGCAGUGUACCCGCGGCUAGACGGAAAGACCCCGUGAACCUUUACUACAGCUUGGCACUGAACAUUGACCCUACAUGUGUAGGAUAGGUGGGAGGCUUUGAAGCACGUACGCCAGUAUGUGUGGAGCCGUCCUUGAAAUACCACCCUUGUAGUGUUGAUGUUCUAACGUCGACCCCUGAUCGGGGUUGCGGACAGUGCCUGGUGGGUAGUUUGACUGGGGCGGUCUCCUCCCAAAGAGUAACGGAGGAGCACGAAGGUGGGCUAAUCACGGUUGGACAUCGUGAGGUUAGUGCAAUGGCAUAAGCCCGCUUGACUGCGAGAAUGACAAUUCGAGCAGGUGCGAAAGCAGGUCAUAGUGAUCCGGUGGUUCUGAAUGGAAGGGCCAUCGCUCAACGGAUAAAAGGUACUCCGGGGAUAACAGGCUGAUACCGCCCAAGAGUUCAUAUCGACGGCGGUGUUUGGCACCUCGAUGUCGGCUCAUCACAUCCUGGGGCUGAAGUCGGUCCCAAGGGUAUGGCUGUUCGCCAUUUAAAGUGGUACGCGAGCUGGGUUUAGAACGUCGUGAGACAGUUCGGUCCCUAUCUGCCGUGGGCGUUGGAAGAUUGAAGGGGGCUGCUCCUAGUACGAGAGGACCGGAGUGGACGAACCUCUGGUGUUCGGGUUGUGUCGCCAGACGCAUUGCCCGGUAGCUAAGUUCGGAAUCGAUAACCGCUGAAAGCAUCUAAGCGGGAAGCGAGCCCUGAGAUGAGUCUUCCCUGAUACUUUAAGUAUCCUAAAGGGUUGUCGGAGACUACGACGUUGAUAGGUCAGGUGUGUAAGUGCUGUGAGGCAUUGAGCUAACUGAUACUAAUUGCCCGUGAGGCUUAACCAUACAACACCCAAGGGGUUU